rnacentral:ncRNA from 1 species
AACGAAGAGGCGCAUUACUCAGGUAGAUUAUUUUAGGGGCUGGAACCGUUAAUAAAUGAUUGAGGGGAUGUAAUGCCGAGAUUUAAUUGAUAAUCCAGAACUCAGUUAGAUCGACUGCAAGGGCUGAAUCCCUUGGGUUGUCACCCUAACAGGUGGAGCGCUUCAGGG